rnacentral:lncRNA from 1 species
UCUAUUUUUUCUUUAGUUGAAUCUACGGACACUAAAUUAUUACUAGAGAUCUUCUGCAAUCUUUCUCGGUUUUGUUUGACUACCUAUCAUGAAUCCAUUUCUUUGGUCUCAUUGAUUUAGCGAGCAAUAAUUUAUUCUGGAAUGGCAGAAGGUAUAGCUUCAUAUUUAUACAAUUCUUUCCUUUUCAAGAAAAUAGGCCAUAGCUUGAAUGCCAGGAAAACUAAUGGACCAUGAAUGGAAGAGUUUGGUCAGAUUCUCUCAUAUGCAUUGUAUAAUUUAUUAAGAAUCCCAUAUUCUUUUGCAGUUAAUUAAUAUCAUUUGUAUUAACUACAUUGUAGCCCAAAUUCAUGGAACCCCCAUCUCCGUCUUGCUCGUUUCAUCCUCUGUGCUCUUUAGCUAGCCCCAUCUGGAUG